UACGAAGGGGGCUAGCGUUGUUCGGAAUCACUGGGCGUAAAGCGCACGUAGGCGGAUCUUUAAGUCAGAGGUGAAAUCCCAAGGCUCAACCUUGGAACUGCCUUUGAUACUGGGGAUCUUGAGUCCGGGAGAGGUGAGUGGAACUGCGAGUGUAGAGGUGAAAUUCGUAGAUAUUCGCAAGAACACCAGUGGCGAAGGCGGCUCACUGGCCCGGUACUGACGCUGAGACGCGAAGGCGUGGGGAGCGAACGGG
rnacentral:rRNA from 1 species